UAUCACAGCCACUUUGAUGUG
rnacentral:miRNA from 2 species